GAUGAACGCUGGCGGCGUGCCUAAUACAUGCAAGUCGAGCGAACAGACGAGGAGCUUGCUCCUCUGACGUUAGCGGCGGACGGGUGAGUAACAAGUGGAUAACCUACCUAUAUGACUGGGAUAACAUCGGGAGACAGGAGCUAAUACCGGAUAAUAUAUUGAACCGCAUGGUUCAAUAGUGAAAGACGGUUUUGCUGUCACUUAUAGAUGGAUCCGCGCCGCAUUAGCUAGUUGGUAAGGUAACGGCUUACCAAGGCAACGAUGCGUAGCCGACCUGAGAGGGUGAUCGGCCACACUGGAACUGAGACACGGUCCAGACUCCUACGGGAGGCAGCAGUAGGGAAUCUUCCGCAAUGGGCGAAAGCCUGACGGAGCAACGCCGCGUGAGUGAUGAAGGACUUCGGAUCGUAAAACUCUGUUAUUAGGGAAGAACAAAUGUGUAAGUAACUAUGCACGUCUUGACGGUACCUAAUCAGAAAGCCACGGCUAACUACGUG
rnacentral:rRNA from 1 species